rnacentral:rRNA from 1 species
UGCAAGUCGAACGAGAGGACAAGAGAAGCUUGCUUCUUUUGGAAUCGAGUGGCAAACAGGUGAGUAACACGUAAACAACCUGCCUUCAGGAUGGGGACAACAGACGGAAACGACUGCUAAUACCGAAUACGCUUGGGAGACCGCAUGAUCUUCCAAGGAAAGGGUGGCCUCUACCUGUAAGCUAUCGCCUGAAGAGGGGUUUGCGUCUGAUUAGGCAGUUGGCGAGGUAACGGCCCACCAAACCUACGAUCAGUAGCCGGUCUGAGAGGAUGAACGGCCACACUGGAACUGAGACACGGUCCAGACUCCUACGGGAGGCAGCAGUGGGGAAUCUUCCGCAAUGGGCGAAAGCCUGACGGAGCAACGCCGCGUGAGUGAUGACGGCCUUCGGGUUGUAAAGCUCUGUGAUCGGGGACGAACGGUCCGUAAGUCAAUACCUUAUGGAAGUGACGGUACCCGAAUAGCAAGCCACGGCUAACUACGUGCCAGCAGCCGCGGUAAUACGUAGGUGGCAAGCGUUGUCCGGAAUUAUUGGGCGUAAAGCGCGCGCAGGCGGCUUUCUAAGUCCAUCUUAAAAGUGCGGGGCUUAACCCCGUGAUGGGAUGGAAACUGGAAAGCUGGAGUAUCGGAGAGGAAAGUGG